rnacentral:snRNA from 16 species
GGUUUAAUUACCCAAGUUUGAAGUUAAACAUUGAAACUGACCCAAAGAAAUUUGGCGUGGCUAUAAAUUUUGGAACGUCUCCUUCAGGGGAGACAAA